rnacentral:rRNA from 1 species
CCCUGGAGUGGGGGACAACAGUUGGAAACGACUGCUAAUACCGCAUACGAUCCAAUCUCGGCAUCGAGACUGGAUGAAAGGUGGCCUCUAUUUAUAAGCUAUCACUGAAGGAGGGGAUUGCGUCUGAUUAGCUAGUUGGAGGGGUAACGGCCCACCAAGGCGAUGAUCAGUAGCCGGUCUGAGAGGAUGAACGGCCACAUUGGGACUGAGACACGGCCCAG